GCUGUUGCUGUUGCUGUUGCGCGGCGGCGGCGGCGGCCGCCGCUGCUGCCGCCGCCGCCGCCGCUUCCUUAGCCGACAGGGCCACUGUCUUGACCCCGACGGGCGGCGGCGGCCCGGGGGAGCGGCCGUCCUGGAAGCAGCCGUGCGCCCGCUUCAGCUGGCGCGCUGUCUCGAUCACGAAUUCGAUGCGAUCAGCGCCCUCGUAGUUGACGCAACCGCGGCAUACGGGUUCCGAGAAGUCCCAGAUCAUGGCCCAGGGCAUGCGGGGCAGGUCGCACAGGUAGCAAGAUUGUCUCCGGGACGAGGACACCUGCGCCGCCGACAUGAUGCCUGCCCUGGGGAAGGAACCCGGGCUUCAACGAUAGAGCUAAAUGAAUUCAGAGUGCGCUACCCUUCCCCCCAGCCGCACUUUAAAAAUUUUGGCUGAACGUCUGAAGAAGAUACGAGCACCCCGAGGCCUUUAAGGAAAACAGGCAACUGGCUGCGCACAGCUGCAGUUCAGGGCAGGGAGGGGGAGGGGCCGGAGAGGCCAAACAGGUGAGUGUUUUUUCUAGAGUUUGAUUUUUAAAAGGUGGAGGCAGCAUUUAAUAAUACUGAUACAUUUUUGUAAAGCACAGCCGCAGUUUUCAAAGUUCUUUCUCAGGCGCUGUGAUCUCACUCCAUGUUGCCCCAGAAGGCGGAACAAGGCCGUGAUUUUUUUUUUUUUUUUUUUUUAAGACGGAGUCUUGCUCUGUCGCCCAGGCUGGAGUGCAAAAUGGCGCGAUCUCGGCUCACUGCAACCUCUGCCUCGCAGGUUCAAGCGAUUCUUCCGCCUCAGCCUCCCAAGUAGCUGUGAUUACCGGCACCCGCCAUCAGGCCCAGCUAAUUUUUUGUAUUUUUGUAGAGACAUGGUUUCACCAUGUUAGCCAGCUGGUCUUGAACUCCUGACCUCAGGUGAUCCUCCCGCCUCGGCCUUCCAAAGUGCUGGGAUUACAAGCAUGAACCACCACGCCCGGCCAAGGCCGUGAUUUCUUCUGCCUUACAAGAUCACUGCUCAUCAGUAUUGCUUAUGGCACGAUGGAUAUGUUGGUCAUAGCUCUAGUUGGGGCAUUUCUAUUGAUUAUUCUAAUUAUUGGGUUUGCUUUUUUUUUUUUUUUUAUUUCAUGAAAACUGAGAUAAUCCCAGGGAAGGCUGGAGAAGGGAAAGCAAUAUAAUGGGAUUUCGGAUUCUGAAGUGUGGCCCACCAGAUUGAAAUUUCCUCUCCAUCACUAACUGGCUCUCCACCCUUAAGCUAGUUACCCACAAAAUCUCUCUUUUCCAUGGAAAAGAGAAUGGAAUGAUAGCUCCCAGGUUGUUAGGGUUGUUUGAGAUUUCAACUUCGGUUUUUUGUUUUUUUGAGAUAGGAUCUUGUUCUGUUGCCCAGGCUGGAGUGCAGUGGCACACUCGCGGCUGGCAGCAGCCUGACCUCCCAGGCUCAAGUAAUCCUCCCACCUCAGCCUCCCUAGUAGCUGGGA
rnacentral:lncRNA from 10 species